GAAAUGAAUAAAACAGGUGCUCAACCCAAGCAAAGACGUCCAACUGGGACACUUCAGAAUGGAAAAGCUGCCGAUUUAGUUCCCCAACCACCACAAACGUCUGAAUCAACUCCAAACUUGACACCACAAG